rnacentral:antisense_RNA from 1 species
CUUCAACGAGCCCAGCCAGAGCGGGCGUUCGCGGUCCUGGCCGUAGGUGGUGAGGAGGGCCUGGGCCUC